rnacentral:rRNA from 1 species
UACGGAGGGUCCAAGCGUUAUCCGGAAUCAUUGGGUUUAAAGGGUCCGUAGGCGGUUUUGUAAGUCAGUGGUGAAAGCCCAUCGCUCAACGGUGGAACGGCCAUUGAUACUGCAAGACUUGAAUUAUUGGGAAGUAACUAGAAUAUGUAGUGUAGCGGUGAAAUGCUUAGAGAUUACAUGGAAUACCAAUUGCGAAGGCAGGUUACUACCAAUAUAUUGACGCUGA